CACAGCAAAACCACAGAUCACCUCUGUUUUCUGUACGGCUUUUGUCAAUAGCUGCACUAAGGAUCUGUUUAGAAUCAUCCAGACAAGGUCAGAA